GUGGGGGACUGCUGUUCACAACUGAAGCUGUAUAGAGAUAACAUGUCAGACUGGAAGUACUUGGAGUGUGUGGGAAGAGGGUGCAGUGAGAUUUGUAAUCAUUACGACUCCAUCCCAUGACCUUUCAUGAUAAGGCAAGGCAAAAGCAGUGAGGGAAAGCAAAAUCCACUGCACAGCCAUCACUACAGGGUUCAACACCGGGAUGAAAAGAAGGCUUCAGAACUGUUCUCUUUUGCUUCACAAAAAUUGUAAUUUGGUAAGGUGGAUAGUGAAAAGCAAUAAACUUUAAAAAUGCA